UCUAUGUUUCCUUUUGUAGGAGCAUGUAUCUAUCUAGAAGUAUUACCGAGUGUAUAAUAUAAUCUAGUCACUGUUAGGUUCAAACUAUUGGGUUUCUUGAGGAUGGUCCGGAGAGAGAAAAAAAGGAAACAUACGUUUGGGAAAAGCCUUAGUCUGCUGACUAUGAUUUGACAUUUAAUUAUUGACCUGAUAAACCAUUUUCAAUGAUUCAAGCUAUGCCACCGAAAAAAAAUGAACACCAAAGUAACAACACAUGACAGCCUAAGUAGGACAAAGUCAUAAAUCAAAAUUAGGGGGAUUUUCCUUGUUCUUCAGUGACACAUGGUGAACCUGUGAUAUACAGAUUAUCCAGAGGCUCAACCUCCAGGGAGAUCUUAUAAACAUUAAUUCCUCAUCCCACUGUUGUGCUGGACUAGAACCUUGCAAACGUAUUAUGACAUUUCCAAGUACCCUGCAAGUAUCACUGCCAAUUUAUAGGUUGACAAUUGAAGGUCUAUUCUUUCAAGAAUGUUUGAAGUUAAUAGGAAAGGUUGAAAAGAAAAUAUUUGUAUUAGAGAGCAUUUACGACAGGGUAGGGGAUAAAAUGAUGAAAAAUUAUCUAAGAUGGUAUGGACCUAGAAAAAUUUUAUUAGAAAUCAUAAGUAAAUAUUUUAAUUUUUUUAUUUAAUUAAGGAUAUUGAUUUGCACAAAGCUCAAUCUAUAUAAUUGACUCCAAAUGGUUGAGACAUUAGGAUUUGUUGCUAUUGUUGUUUGUAUGCUUAUUGGUGGCCAUCAAGGCAUCAACAGCAAUUAUUUUAUGAUUUUCUUUGUAUUGCAACAUAUUCUACAAUCUGCACCAUUGUAAAAAUAUUAGAAAGAUGUAUUUACUAUUCAGAGUCUGGUCGCCACAGGUGAGCUUUUCACCUAGUUCAGGCCUGGUUUAUGUUCUAAACUGGGCAGUAAGGCCUGGCUUUUUGCCGGACAACGAAGUAUAGGGCAGUCUGCAUGCCCAUAUUGCAUUGGACCUGUGCAUAACUGCAUAUUAUCCAAUAUGUACCAAUCCAGGUGACAUUUAAAUCCAUGAUUUAGAAUCCCUUGGAAUACAAUUUAAUGGAGAUAUGAAUGCUUUAAUUAAAUAAGGUUGGACUGUUCCAAGAUUUAGUCCAACUAGGAUUUCCACUAAUUAGUUAAAUUAUAUCCAUUGUCUACAGAGUUUACCAUGCAUGAUUGAAAAGCUAAUAUGGAACGUGGCACCCUCCCAUUGACUGUUCAUAGGCUUUGGGCAUCCCAGGUGCUGGUCACAACCCCCCAUGUGUGCCUUGGGUUUUGACUUGCCUUGCCUAGGCUGUCCAUAGUUAGCCAAAAUCGGUUCAGGUGUGGUAUCAAAAUGUUUUUAGGUGUAACAUUAGUCAAACUGAUUUCAAAGAGGGCAUGAUGUUACUGUUAGAUUCUUCUGCUCUUUUGUACAAGAAAGAGAGCAUCUAUAAGGCUAUGGGACUCGAGAUAGUUUAUUACUUCUAUGUUUCCUUUUCUAGGAGCAUGUAUCUAUCUAGAAGUAUUACUGAGUGUAUAAUAUAAUCUAUUCACUAUUAGGUUCGAACUAUUGGGUUUCUUGAGCAUGGUCCAGAGAGAGAAAAAAAGGAAACAUAAGUUUGGGAAAAGCCUUAGUCAGCUGACUAUGAUUUGACAUUUAAUUAUUGACCUGAUCAACCAUUUUCAAUAAUUCAAGCUAUGCCACCGAAAAAAAAAUGAACACCAAAGUAACAACACAUGACAGCCUAAGUCGGACAAAGUUAUAAAUCAAAAUUAGGGGGAUUUUCGUUUUUAGUGACAAUGUGGUGAAUCUGUGAUAUACAGAUUAUCCAGAGGCUCAACCUCCAGGGAGAUCUUAUAAACAUUAAUUCCUCUUCCUACUGUUGUGCUGGACCAGAAACCUACAAACGUAUUAUGACAUUUCCAAGUACCCUGCAAGUAUCACUACCAUUUUAUAGGUUGAUAAUUGAAGGUCUAUUCUUUAAAGAAUAUGUGAAGUUAAUAGGAAAGGUUGAAAAGAAAAUAUUUGUAUUAGAGAG
rnacentral:lncRNA from 1 species